UACGGGGGGGGCAAGCGUUGUUCGGAAUUACUGGGCGUAAAGGGCUCGUAGGCGGCCAACUAAGUUCGGAUGUGAAAUCCCCAGGCUUAACCUGGGAACUGCAUCCGAUACUGGAUGGCUUGAAUCCGGGAGAGGGAUGCAGAAUUCCAGGUGUAGCGGUGAAAUGCGUAGAUAUCUGGAGGAACACCGGUGGCGAAGGCGGCAUCCUGGGACCGGCAUUGACGCUGAGGCGCGAAAGCUAAGGGGAGCAAACGGGG
rnacentral:rRNA from 1 species